rnacentral:lncRNA from 1 species
CCAACUGUUUCUCUGCCAGAAAGAUCCCUUGUGCAUAUAAAUGUUUUCCAUCUCUGGAACGCGCAAUAGGUGUCUACAAAGAUGGUGACAAUCACUUACCUGAAUCGCUUGUGGGAAAUUUGUACUAGUUUCUGUGCAAUUUUGCAAUUCUCAUCCCUCUAUGUAUUGGAGAUGGGAAAAGCAAGGCCCAAUAUAGAUCUGAGGUGAAGUAUUGUAUGUAGUAGUAGAUUCCAAUAUACAUUUUUUUUUUCCUAAUCUGAAGGGUGGGGGUGGAGGUUGUCACUGUUGAUAUUGGCCAGUGUAGAGUAUUUUGGAAUUAAUCCUAUGGCAAGGAGUCCUUAAUUUUAUCUAAUGUUUUUUGGUUGCUCUUUUUUUCAUGUUAAAAGUGGUUUUGCCUCAUUUUAUUCUCCAUUUUUUUCUUGACGAGUCGAUAUAAGCAGUGGAAAAGAUAAAAUGUCACUCCGAAGUUCACUUUGCCUUCUUCCAUCAUAGUUAAAGGCAGGCCUGCCUUGCAACCUGGAAGUCUAGUUUUCUUCUUGACUCUGCAUUGGGCUGAGGUGUCCUUGCUUUCUUUCAUCAAAAAGUGUAAGAAGGUCCAAUCCAAGAUUGAAGGUAAUGUUUUAAUCCCUUCUAAAUAAUUGAAGGAUGCAAUCUAGUAAAAGGAUGUUGGUAUCUAUCUGAUUGGCAUCUGUAUACUUGCAUGAUCAUCUUUGCUUGCCUUUGAUGCAAGUAUACGAAGGCAAGAGAUGAUCAUGCAUAGCUGCAUUUGGCUAGUUUCCUAUUAUGUGAGCUAUGAAAUUUCUCAAUAGUGGGAUUCCCUUUCAAUUUCGAACGUUUGCAUUUUGACAAAGGCUGAUUCAAGUGUCACUCACCCUUUGAACCCUGAAAUUUAGCAGUAUUUGAGGGUCGCUGCUGAUGAAUGGCAGCCUAAGUUGGCGCUCUGCAUGCAUGGGGGCUGCCAGUGGUAAUCCACUGGAAGCUGAGUUUUUGUUACAGCCACUACAGGCUCUAAGCUAAGAGUUUGGCAAAAAACUCUACAAGCUUGUUCUUGCCAUUUUCUUACCUGCAUUAGGGACCUCAUAUCUGUUGCUGUUUCUAGUUACGAGGCAAAAUCUAGUAUUUGUGUUUUUUGACUGACCUGAUGGGUCUGGAUUGACUAUCUUCCUGGCUUCCCUUUGCAGGAUUCUUCCUGCGAGUCAAGUAGGUUGUUUGUUGGUUGGACAAGCGAAUAAGUAAUCCGAGCUUCUAGUAUGUUGUACUCCAUUAAUUCUUCUGUUCAGGUCUACUGCAAGCAUGAUCGACGGGACGAGGCAAACUGAGGCAACAUGACUUCCAGCUUGCUGAUGGAGGCAACAUGACGUUAAAAAAAAAAAAAGCAAUCUAGGAUAUACAUGGUAAUUGAAUGAUUUCUGUUAUUAGUUUAGCAAAUGGAGAAGCCACGUUGUUAACCUCAAUUAGAGUUGAAAUUUCACUUUUAGAAACACCUAGAAGAAAUUAGUGGGCUUCAAAUAAUUUUUUUUUUUUUUAAUUUUUCUGCUAAUCCAAGAAUUACGGAGUCAAAGAGUUACGUUAGAAAGAAAAUGCGAUGAUAUUGUUAUGGCUGGAUAUUUUCUGACCUUCCCAAAAUAUCCUCCUCCCAAGUCCUACCCCAGUAAAAUACGAAAAGAUAAUUGUGUAUUUUCACCUUGUUAUUGGUGGGGUGAGAACGACAGAAAUUGGAAGAAUAUAAAAGUUGACCGACCACCUCAAAACUUUGACAUGUUCGACUACGCUGGUAGCAGACUUUCACUCGAGAGACAGCAAGCGUGCAAGAACAGGCCGCUAACGCUCUACCCUGGGAGUCUCUCAUAAUUGAUAAUCCUCGUGGUUUUUAAGUGGUCAAAAUGAGAAAGUCGGAAGUGGCGCGCGCGGCAUAACUGCUUCAUUCCAUCUGCUAUCAUUUGUAUAUUUAAAAUCAAUUUUUAAUAUUAAAUAAAAAGGAAUGUAUUAGUUUAUAAUAUGUUCAUAAUGUAGAUAAAUUAUUAAAUUUGGAAAAGGGCGUAUGUUCUUAUGGGUUUCCUUUCUUUUUUUUUUUGGAAAAAUGAGUUUAUUCUUGUAGAUUUUUUUUUUAUUUUUGGGAUACAGAAUUAUUUUUCAAAUAUUUUGGUUCGUAGUCCUACUAUAUUUAAACCAUUUUUUAAUAUCCAAUUCAAUAUUGUCUUUUAAUUUUGCAGUCUCUAUAAUUUUUAAUUUAUUCUUUUGGUUUAAUUUCAGUUAGAAUUCAAAAUUUUUCAAAUACCAAGAGAAACCAGAUUUUUUUAAAAAUCACUGUCUUGAGUCAGAUAGAGCGCCGAAAUAUGAGUCAGGAUUAUUUCCUUUAUGCAGUUAAUUUCCUAAUAUCUGGUAUGAUAUAUAAUUAUGUCCGUUGGAUUUUUUUUUUUCAUAUAGAUAUCGUUAGGUUUUUGGCAUCACUACUGAACAUUAUCCAAACUUAGAAGGACGCGUUUUUUCUAAUUCAGUGGAUGCAAAAAUACAAAAAUACCAAAAAUAAAGGUAAUAUUGUGACUCAAACUCUAAAAAAUAGGAUACCAUCAUUAAAGAAGUUUCAUGCCUUCUUUAGCAUCUUAAAAAGAUGCAACACAGAACAGUUAUUUGAAUGCUAAUAAACUCUCUUUCUACCAACUUUGAAAGCCCACCCAUUAAAAGUGAAGUGAAAAUUAUUGCAGUCAAUGCAGAGAGAAAAUGAUAAAGAAAAGAAAGGCUAGAUGCAAUUUUGCCAAAAGGAUUUCUGACGAAAUUAAAAAUUAAUCCAAUUUUAAUAAUGGGCGUAUAGUGCCUUAGUUAUUAGUAGUAUCUGAAUUAUUUUUCUCUAAUUAUAAACCAUUUUUUAUUAUUUUUAUUUUAUGCACGAUCAUUUUUUGAAUAAAAUUAUGAAAAUAACUAUCGUAAUACCUUUUUUAUGUGAUAAAUGUGCAAUAAAAAUAAUUAAAAAAUUUCAGUAAUACAAACAAAUAAAUUUUUAUAAUAUACAAUUUAUGUUAGAAAUAGUAAAACCCUCAAUCAUGAACCUAUACCAUCCGCAAUUAUAUAAGCAAGCAAUACCUUAUGUUAGAAAUGUGAUUGCGAUUUUGUGUUUAUACUUUAUCCCACUACUGAUUAUCUUUGCUUUACAAUGUAACAAUAAGCAAACAACUGUUAGGAUUUUGUAAAAAAUUUUCACAAAUAAUGGAUGAUCAGAAAAUCAAUGCCAUAUCAUUCAUGACAAAAAGCAAAGCAAAAGCAAAAUAUACUUAAAGGCCAGAGGGGACUGACCUGGAAAAUUAAGUUGGUAAGAAUAUACUUCCAAUUCUCCGCAAGAAGGUUGAGUUCUGCUAAAAUCUCUGCAUAUAAUAUCUUCCACUACUACUCAUAAAAGAAACAAAAUCAAUACAUUUACAAAAUGAAUAGAGAACCAAAAACAAAUAAGAAACUGAGAGAGAGUGGGAGUGAGAUAGUGGGAUAGUAGGAAAAGAGAAUUUGUAGGAGUGGUUGUAGAAUGAGUUAAGAUAGUGGGAUAGUGGGAGUGAGAUAGUGGGAAUAUUGAUGGGUGAUAAGGUGGGUUAUAACCCACUACAUUUUAUGUAUUAAAAUAAAUACAAAAAUCUAGAAAAAAGAAUGAGAAGUUUAGAAGUCAUUGAGAGGGUUUCUGCUAAAAACCCCCUUCCUGAAUACAUAUAGAUAUAGAUAUGCUCAGUACCGUCACUUUUAAGCGUUACUCCUACACAGCUACAAACUACUAAAAACUUUCUUCCACCAUUUUCUUCAUUUCAAUGAAAAAAAAAAAAUCUCUUGUUAUAAGAUUCUCAUGAUUUUAUUCUUGAAUACAAUACUCUCUGGUUGAUUCUAGAUUUCCAUCACUAAUAUUAAGGUAGUCCUUCUUCUUCUUUUUUUUUUUUAUUUUUAUUGUUCCCAUUUUUCCUUCUUCAAAUAUAUUAUGUCAAAUUGAGUGGUUGAUUUGUGUUCUACAUGCAUGUAUGGAGUAGAAAAACACGAAUUUGGUUGAAAUAGAACGUUAUUUAGAUUUUAGAAGAUAGUAAUAAAGUUGAUUAAUAUGCUUGUCUGCUGCUUAAUUUCUUGGUCAAGUAUUAUCUUUUACCUUCACUAUCCCCCACGAAUGCUUCUGGUUCUUAGUUGUCAGUUGUUACUUGCCCAAAAUGUGUAAAUCCCGUUAACACGGUUCCUGACAAAAGGCUAACGAGGACGGAAGCCUCUAUUCAGCGAUGAGAACGUGGAGGAGAGCACGGGGGACUGUCGGCCAGAUAUUCACUUCCGAGGGGUGCUGAAGCCUAGGCAGCGUUUGUGGGCCCGUUGGCGGGCUAAAUAAUCCGACCACUAACCGGGACGCCUAAGUCGUACAAAAUAAUUUAUUGACGAUACUUUAUGCGAGAAAAUGGUUCGUACAAAAGUAACUUUUUUUAAAAAAAAAAGUUAAUGGUAUUGGCUGAUUUUUUUUUUCCAACAAACGUUAAAUGAAAGAAAUCUAAACAUGAUCCUCGAUCCAAUCUAAAAGGCAAUUGCUGACUUUUGGGCUCGAUCAAGGGACUUAAAUCUCACUCACUCAAUCCUUACUGGACCGAUGUGGAAGGAAGAGGAAAGAAAAACACUCGCACUCUUGGUUUUACCCUCAUCAUUGGCUAUUACCCCUCUCCAUGACUCUUGUUUCUUUCCGACAAACAUUAAAUAAAAGAAAUCUAAACAUGAUCCUCAAUCCAAUCCAAAGGCAAUUGUUGAUUUCUAGGUUCGACCAAGGGACUUAAUGGUACUGGCUGAUGAAUUCCUUUUUUAAAAUACAAAAAUUUUUUUUUAUAACCUCACGAGCGCAAAUACUUGAAAUUACUUAUCUAACCAGUGGGCUAUUUUUCAUUGUCGUACUUGUUUGUUAGCCAAUGCCAAAUUUUGUUGUUUGGUAGUAGAAAUGGCCAGUAUUAAUGUUUUAGUUAAUGAAAAUCUUUUAAAAUAGCGUUAAUGUUUUACGGGUGCAAACAAUUAACUUACAAAGUCAACCAAUGAAAAAAAAAAAAUAUUUUAGCUGCGAUUUUUAAUUUCGAACAAUGUUCAGUUUUACUACUAUUUGGAAGUACAAAAUAGCUUCCUUUUAAUUUUAAUGCGACGGAAGUGGUUAAAAACCUAUUGCAAUAGCAAAAGAUUGGCUAAAUUACAAUAAUUUAUAAUAAACAUUGAUAAUUUGACAAUUGAAGAAUCACUCUUUUACCGUUCAUAUUCCACAAUGAUACAAUCGUACAAAGCUAUAGUAACAAAAUACGGCAUGGUGUUCAGCCAAAGAUUGACUUAUAAACUUAACAAUCUAUUUUGAAAACUAAAUAAAUUUUUUGCCACAAUUAUUUUUACAAACUCAUUGUAAAUUUAAUUAUAUUAUGUUUUGUGGGAAACAUAUGAUUUGUUAUUUUUAAUCUAAAUGUAUCAUGGAAUAGGACAAGAUUUCUACAAUCAAAUAUUAGUGUCUUUUUUGUAUCUUAUUGAAAAAUUUGUAUCCUCUUAAAAAAAUUUGCUGGAGUCGAGAGAGAGAGAGAGAAAUCUGGGUACAAAGCAUAAACACUUCUCAUCUUCUUUUUUUUUUUUUAAUAAAAAAAACGGCAUAUCUAACUUAAUAUAGUUUACUCAUACUCCUACUAGGGGAGUCUACUCAAAGAGAUGACCUUACUAAGUCGAGAUAAUCUGAUGGAGAUUGAACCUCACCUUAUUUUGAUAUGGUUUAAUCUUCUAAAUAUUCGGCAAUCAAGCAUAAGUUCCAAUUAUGAUAAAGACUAUCAAAUUCUGAUUAGUUAGUUAAGACAUAAAUUGCCAAAAUAGUCAAUCUCAUGUGUUGAUUGCCAUUUUAUACAUGUGUCUAUCAUCUAAAGAUGUAUGUAUUGAGGGAAAUUGGAAGAAUGGAGCAAUGGAGAGAAGCCAAAUCCGGGUACAUACUCAUGAAGGUCCAUGUGGGAUAAUUAUUCAUGCGCAUCAAAUUGUUGCAACACCGACAUACGAUGCUACAAACUUUUUUCCCAUCCAUUUUCCCCCCUCAAGACGAAAAUUGUGUGAGCUUAUGACCGAUAAAGGGUAGCGGGGGUUUGUCGCUACGAUCUUUGUUUAAGCUCUGCAUUCUCACUCUUCAGCACACGCUAAACCAAUGGCCUCCUCGCCACAAUGCAUGAUACUUUUACAGUUAACUACUCUACGACAUGUGCGUAUUAAUCCCAAGUUUCCAAAUCCAGCGUUAUUUCUCUUCAUCUAGCUAGUCUCCUAUUUUUGCACAGGCUUUAUUACAGUAUAAUACUUUGUCCUUCUAAACUCUAAAUAUAUAUAUAUAUAUAUAUAUAUAUAUAUAUAUAUUGCCCCUUCAUUAAUUAGUCAAAUGUCAACGAUGAAUUCUCCAUCCAAAAUGCACUAAUUAAUUUUAUUUCAUUUAAUAAGUACUACUAUCAGCAUUGAAAUAAAUACAUUGAGUUGUCUAGACUUUUAUUUUUGUUAAUUAUCUAAUUCAUUUUUGUAAUAAAAAUUCGAAAUGUAUAGAGUAAUUGUGUUUAGAUGAAUUUAACAACUAUUAAAGAAAUAAGUAUUUGUUAUGUUACAAUUAUUAUGUGUGUGUUUACGAAUUAGUCAAGAAUAUCUUGAUCAUGAAAAAUAUAACUUCACUUUAACCCUGACAAAAAGCUGAUCACAAGGUUUAAAAUGUACAUAUUUGGAGUUUAGAGUCGCGAAGUAUUACAAAGGCUCAAGUUGAAGGGAACAAAGUGUAAUCAACGGGUUUACAUAUUAUGAAUAACCCCAACAAUGAUGACUUCAGCUUUUGUUGAGUGCACAUGACGGCCUCUAACAAAUAACCUUCACACUCAUUUAUGCGUGGGCCACGAUCACCAAAACUUAAUUUAAGCACAAGUAAAAUUCAUACACCGAUUUACGUUUCUUACUAUUCGGUGAACCGACUGGCCUUCGUCACCACCCACUAGGGGUGUUUCGCGAAUCGAGUAGUUCGCGAUCGGCUCAAAUACGAGCUCGACUCAAGCUCGUUAAUAUUGAGUUCGAGUCGAGCUCGAACUAAUUAAAUCGAUCUCGAACUCGAGCUCGAGCUCAAAAACAUUAAGUUCGUUGGCUCGCGAGUUCAAUUAUAUAUAUAUUUUUUUAUUUUUUAUUUUAAUAGUAAAAUUACAUAUAUAUCCAUAAUAUUUUAUUAUUUAUUAAAAAUUAUUAUUUUAUUCAUUUUUAAAAAUAAAUAAUUAUAUUUUAUUUUUUUAAAAUAAAAUAAUAAUUAUUUUUUUAUUUUUAAACUCGAGCUCGACUCGAAUUUGACUCGAGCUCGAGCUCGAUAUUUUGAGCACGUCGAGCUCGAGUUUCACAAAAUUAACUCGAGCUCGACUCGAUUAGCCAAAGCUCGACUCGAAUUUGGCUCGUUUGCACCGCUGGCACCCACUUAGUUAUUGCCCACUUCAUUACCAUUCCUCUGUCACCACGUGGCCUUUUCACCAACUUAACUUCCAGCUGGCAGUGAUUUCGUUUUUUCUUUUCCCGCCUGGAUUCCCAUGCCUCACGGCUUACCGGGUUACAUGGGUCCACCUUACUUUCAUUCCGCACAGCCAUAGAAAACGCCAACAUCAAGGCUUCCAAAGCAUGGCUGCUCGUACGUCAUUUCGCAGCUUGGAAUGAUCCGAGGAAGAGGACAUUGUUGUCUUGUUAUUGGGUCACAUCCCAUACACCGAUUGAAAGGAGAAGUCAAAUUCCCCCAUCAGCAAUUAUCAUUUCAGAAGGACAGCAGAUGAUCUUUCAUUUGUGUUACUACAAAUUACACAAGUCUAAAGCCACACUUAAUAGUAUUAAAGUCCGUUUUCAAUCUCCCCGUUCCAAUACUAUAAUUGCAGUUUAGUGAUUUCAAAGUUGAUUUUUUCGGCAAAUUUUGUGUAUUUUGUUCAUUAACUUUUCAAAACUUAAAAGCUUUUUGGCCGAAAUCUCGCAAUUCUAAUCCUUUUCAAAUAUCAAAGGCCUGUUUGUUUGGAUUCUGAAUUUUCUCAUGCCUACUUUUGAAUCUUAAAAUACUGUCGAUGUAGAUAAGUUUUGCUUAACUAUACUCUUGAGAGUAAACAUCUAGAGAAUCAUCCUCAACAAAAAAAUUAAAUUAAACCAAUUUCUAGUUUUAUACGAUAUUAGCACACUUUAUAUUAGUCUUGAAAAGAUGAUGAACAAUGAUAUUUAUUUUCACUUUAAACGCACUCUAAAUUAUCCAAGUAAUGCCAAUAUAAUUGAUUCAAUCCUUUUCCAAGGAAAAUAAGGUUUAUGUAGUGAAGAAAGUCAUGAGAAAAAGAUGAACUUUAACUCCUCUUUACGUGUCACGGUUGUGUAUUAGCAAAUGUCUUUGCUAUUCAUGUGAUCGCUAUAUUUUUUAGGACAAUUUUACAAUCUACACGAACCAAAAUUAGUAAAAGGAUCAAUCUGAUUGCAUUAAAUUGACAGAAAAUCACCAAAUUCGGGAGCGUGUAAUAUUGGACCCAAGUUUUAGAAACGUGAAUUUGUUUAAAAAAUUUUUAUUGUCCAAUCAACUAUUGCGGUUCGACUCGGACACCAGUCCGGUAACUAAUAAGCUUUGAAUUGGACUGUCAAAUGUUUGUUUCCCAUUGUUAAAUUUAGAGUUUCUUUGAAUUGCGAAGCAAAACUUGCUUUCUUAGACGUAUGAAAACUUUUUAUCUCCCUCUCUUUAAAAUUCGACAUUUGUAUGCCUAAUGAUGAGAGAGUGAUUGAGAAAUCAUCAAAUUAUGGAAAGCAAAAUGGAGACACACAUUAUUUAAGUCUGAUCAUGGUAACAACAACAAGGUCUAAUAAAUGAACGCAAAUAUUACUUAUUUCCUCCUGACAUUUUCUUACGAAAAUAAGAAGUUCGGUAAAUAAAUCUAGAUUCCCGAGCAAUCUUAAAAAACCGACAACUUUUGAAGACGCCCAAGGGACUUAUUUAUCCAAAUUCAUCCCCCCAAGACCGAUGUGGGAUUGAAAUCCCGACAAGGGUCAAGCCUCCACAGGCUGUUGCUGCUAAGAAGUAACUACCUCCCACAAACCCGAGCUAGACGAUCCCAGUGGUAUGUUUCUUCCUGGCAUUUUCUUACGAAAGUAAGAAGUUCGGUAAAUAAACUUGGAUUCUCGGACAAUCUUCAAAAGCCGGCAAUUUUUGAAAACGCCAGGGGACUUAUCUACUCAAAUCCAUCCUCCCCAAGACCGAUGUGGGAUUGAAACCCCGACAAGGGCCAAAAAAUGUUUGGAAUAUGCUAGAGUGAUGCCUCGAACCAGUGACCUCUUGUAUUUAAGAAAACGCAACAACCACUACACCAACAGCAAAAUUACUUAUUUAAGUUUGAAUUAUCACAAAAAAAAAAAAGUUUGAUCCACUUGUCCACUUGUAGAUUAUACUCCCUCUGUCCCACUUUGAUAGUCCUGUAUUCAUUUUUCAUCUGUCCCAAAUUGUAGUCCACCUUCCAAUUGAAUAAUGUAGUUAUAUUUUAAUUUUUCUAAAAUACCCUUAUUCAAUGUAAGUAGUUAUUACUAUAAACCUACCCCAUUUAAUGAGAGUUGAUUUUUUUUUACCAUUAAUUCAAGUUCCCAUAAAAUUGUACUAUAUUUAAUGUGAGAGUAUUUUAGAAAAAUAGCAAUCUAAAUUUAAUUUUUCAAUAAAGUUAACUAUUUUUUUUAAACUGUGUGAAAAAAAAACGAGAUUAUCAAAGUGGGACGAACGGAGUAUGAUUUAUGCAAUAGUCAGUCACCGGCGUCAUCACAUGAUCAACCAGAGUAAAAGUAAAAUGUACUAAUGACUUGGCGUUCGGACAAAAACGUCGUGCCCUAUGCUCUCUGCUCUGCUUUUGUCGUCAAAGGGAAUACGAUGCGCUCGCGCUCCGCCAGGACCCGCACGGCAACCCCACACGCCCGCUUGCGCUGCACCUACACCACAGCUCACCCUCUCCAACCCGGCCCACCAAUUACACGAUAUGUGGCCACAGGAGCGAAGGAGACGUGGGGCCUGCAGGUAAUUUCGUCCUUUGUCUCCUGGAUCAUUUCAUUCCUCCUCCAGCCUAUCCGUUCAGUUCCACGUAAAAAUUUUCAUGGAUCGCAGUUCCCAUCAGAAUCUGACACGCAAGGGCGGUUUCUCGAUAAUUGCCGCAACCUCAAUGGUGGUACAUCUUUUCGAGAAUUUUGGAGACUUCUGGGGUAGGACAGUUGGGAGUUCCCACAGGUACACUAAUGUCAACUGUGUGUGUUAUGACUUACGAGCUUUGGGUUUUAGCUUCAUUCAAAUUCUUACUCAGUAGCGUUAAUCCCGACUAGAAUUUCUAUUCGAAAUUUCGGUGUCGAAUAGGAAUAUGACUCUGUUUGGAAGAUAAGUUUUUUGAAAGUUUGUCUAAAAUUUUACUGUAAUUUAUUAUAGAAAUUUUUUAAAAUUUUUUUGAAACGUGUAGAUUUUUAAAUAUUUUGAAGUGUAUAGUUUAAGAAUUUUUUGAAGUUACUGUAGUUAAAGUUUUUAAAAAACUUGUAGCAGAUAAAUUUGACAAAAAACUUGGCUUCCACGAUGGUAUAUAAUUGACAUCAACCAUUAUAGCGUGCGUCAUGCGUUAGGGGCUUGACGGUAAUAAAUGUGUAAAUCCCGGUGCCAAACAUUUUACAACAUCAUAACCUUCACCUUUAUUUAUGAAAAAAAGAGUAAUCAAUUUUAUAUACAUUCGUAUUAUAUAUACUGUCACUCGCUGUUAAUUGAAGAAAUUGGUCUUCUAAGACUUUAUGAGAUUAGUUUAAUAUCAAAAGUUUCGUGGCAUAGUAAAUUAUGAUGAAUUUCAUGUUGGCCUUUUAAAAUCAGUACCUAAGCAUACAGAUGUGAAUACGAUUUAUUUUAUUUCUUAUAAUUAGAUGCCAUAUGAAACAAAUUGAUUGCAACGAGUCACAUAUUAGGGUUUACUAAGAUGUCACAUUCAAACCCUUUAAAUAUGUGCUAUUUUUCCUUCCAUGAAUUUAAUCACUAUUCUAUGCCAAAAAAAAAACAAAAAAGGUGGGAAACACCGACAUUUUCAACCACUAUAAUUAACAAUUUCCCCAUUUUGUUUGAAAAUGAAAAAAAAAAAUCUCCUUUUUAGUUGCUGUGUACUUGAUAAAAAACAAAACAUAGCAUCAAAGACAGACAUGAAAUCAGGGAAAAAUAUACUGGACAGCCUUCUUCCCUGGUGUGAAAACGAAUUCCAAAAUGUCUUAGAUACGAGUGACAUAAAGGUUUUAGGAAGAUUUAGCAGAAGGAAUCAAUGCUCAAUCCUAAAACAUGAUGAUGUUUUAUUCUUUAUUAUCCGUUUCUCCAUAAACACGGUGGACCCAAAACCCAUAAAACGAGAAACUGAAAACCAAAAAACAGGAAUCUGAGACAGAUGUCUUAACCCACUAGUCAAGUCAGUAUGAGCAGCUUCUGAAAUUAUCCGAUUUUGCGCAUUAGAAAAAUAGAAGAGAAUUGUUUGGAUAGGAAAAAUUUUUUCAAUAAUAUUUCUUGAAUCAUAAAUUCAUUUUCUAAUUUACUACGUUUUUAUUUCACGCGCUUAUAUUACAUCAUAAAAAAUAUUAUAUAAUUAUUUAAAUAAUAUUAUCCAAACAGAUCCGAAAGAAAGCGGUAGGAUCCAUCCGUCAGUUCAAUGCCCAACCUAGACUCCGUGGUGGGAUGAGUUUUGUAGCCAAUUGCAGCUGCAAGUAAUCUCACCGCUCACCACUGGAUAAGAUUAUAUUUUUGUCUUUCUGUUGCAUUUCCAACUUACAGGCAAUGAUUGGCGAUCUAAAUUGUCCGGUAACGAGAAGAUGCAAUCGAAAUAUUAUUUAAAAUAUUAUUGGGAAGCUGAAUCUAAAUUUUAAUUUUGCGAUUUGGAUGAAAAAUUGUCACUUGGAAUAUACACAUUGUGUAGUGCCCUGAACCGCGCAGUGCUUUCCUUUGAGAGAGUAAAACAAAGAUAUCAUUUUGAUUCAAAUUAUAGAUCACCGGUAAAAGAGGAAAAUCAUUCCAACAGACAGUUCUACAUUCCAAAUCAAGAGAAAUGUUUAGGUAAGAUAUGAAUGGUGGCCAAUUUCCAGUUCAACAAACAUGUAAUUGUAAUUCUCUGAUCAGCGCAAUGCCGAGGAUCUUUGAACCAUACGAAGAUGAUUAAAAAAAAAAAAAACAGAAACAAAUUUUUUUUUUUCUUUUGAGACUAACAAAAAAAUUAUCUUGAAUGACCGUUACAGCCUUGUCAAGCGACAAUCCUCAAAAGCUCACGGGCCCAAAGAUUUAUAUAUUUGUGUCCUAGCACACUACAAAUAAUAAUAAUGCAGAAAAGAAAUAGCAAGAGAAAUGAUAAAAAAGGGAAAUAUAUAGACCAGGUGAAAGAGAUGACUAUCUGUUAACCGUCUUAUUCUUCGCUUCCUUUCUUCAUCCCUGUUCCUCGAACAUAAAAGGAAAAAGGGGUUGAGAAGAAGCAAACCCAUGUAUAUAUAGAGCUCCCCGCUGUCCCUGUAUCCCACUCCAUCGCCGUGUUUUUAUGUGUGUUAUUCUCCUGUAAUUAGAGAAAAGCGACCCUUAUUCAACAGCGAAGGGUUUUUCCUUUUUGGAAAAACAAAAAAAGAAGAAGAACAAAAGGAGAGACCAAAAAUGCCUCCCCGGGACGAAGAGGAACAGAGAUUACUGGUGAACCCACUUCUGGAUUCUUCCGAUGAAGAAAGAGCCUAUGAUUCUACAGAAAAAGUUCACAUAAUAGGAGCGGACGAACCUAAUGAAGGAGGAGGAGAUAACAGCGACGUUUGCUCACCAAGGCGCCGCCAUUCUCUUGGAAGAAGCUCUGGCUUUUCACUGGGCCGGGUUUUCUGAUGAGCAUAGCUUUUCUUGAUCCGGGUAACUUGGAAGGGGACCUUCAGGCGGUGCCAUUGCUGGGUAUUCUUUGCUAUGGCUGCUGUUUUGGGCCACGGCUAUGGGGCUUUUAGUCCAGCUCUUGUCGGCUAGGCUCGGCGUGGCUACUGGAGACACUUGGCUGAGCUCUGUAGGGUGGAGUAUCCCACGUGGGCUAGGAUGCUUUUAUGGGUCAUGGCUGAAGUGGCUUUGAUUGGGGCUGAUAUUCAGGAGGUUAUUGGCAGCGCCAUCGCUAUUAAGAUUUUGAGUAAUGGGUUGUUGCUUUGGGCUGGUGUCGUCAUCACUGCUCUGGAUUGGUAAAAUGCUUUCUUUCCCCCUCUGCUCUGGGUGAUUUAUUUCGUUUUUAUGCUUGUGUUUAGUGGUUGUCUGUUCUAAAGUUUUAAGCUUUAGACUUUGAAUGUGAAAGACUGAUGCCUUUUUUGUGACUCUUGUGAUAUGCUGAUGAUGAAUGGUUUUUAAGAAUAUGAUGGAUCGUUUGUUUAUUGAGAAUUUUAUGUAACCAAGUAAUUAGCUUCUGGGGUGUUGCUAUGUGAAGUAACCAUUUGAUUUUACUAGAUUUUGGAACACUCGUAUUUGUUAGGGCUUUUCACUCUUUUUUGUUACUCUCUGUGAUUGUGAAGAUGUUUCCCAAGAUUUGACUUGCUGACUUAUAUUCCACCAUGAUGUCGUGAUGCAGUUUUAUAUUUCUAUUUCUCGAAAAUUAUGGGGUCAGGAAGCUCGAAGCACUUUUUGCAAUUCUCAUAGCAACCAUGGCGCUCUCGUUUGCAUGGAUGUUUGGUGAAACAAAACCAAAUGGUGUUGAACUUCUUCUUGGUGAGACACUAAAUUAUUAUUAUUAUUAUUUUAUCGAUAUGUGGUACCUUGUUCAAUUGUGUAUUUUCAAGCUUGCCUAUAUCUGACAUUGUCCAUUGGGAUGUUAGGUGUUUUGGUUCCAAAACUGAGCUCCAAAACAAUAAAGGAGGGAGUGGGAGUUGUGGGUUGCAUUAUCAUGCCUCACAAUGUAUUUCUACAUUCUGCUCUUGUACAGUCAAGAGAGAUCGACGCCCGCAAGAUAGGCAGGGUCCGAGAAGCAAUCAACUACUACUCCAUAGAAUCCGCAGCUGCCCUUCUAAUUUCUUUCAUCAUCAAUCUGUUUGUUACAACGGUUUUUGCGAAGGCAUUUUAUGGUACUGAACUAGCCAAUGACAUUGGCCUCGUGAAUGCAGGCCAGUAUCUUGAGGAGAAGUACGGUGGAGGAUUGCUUCCAAUUAUAUACAUCUGGGCUAUUGGAUUAUUAGCUGCUGGUCAGAGUAGCACCAUCACUGGCACUUAUGCUGGUCAGUUUAUUAUGGGAGGUUUCUUGAACUUACGGUUAAAAAAGUGGCUGAGAGCACUGAUCACUAGGAGUUGUGCCAUAAUUCCUACCCUGGCUGUUGCUCUUAUUUUUGAAACCUCUGAAGGAUCAUUGGAUACUAUGAAUGAGUGGCUGAACAUACUUCAGUCAAUUCAGAUACCCUUUGCCCUUAUUCCUCUACUUUGUCUGGUCUCCAAGGAGGACAUAAUGGGUGUAUUCAGAAUUGGCCCCAUUCUGAAGGUAUGUUCCCUUCUUAAAAAGAUAUGACAAUUUUGCAUUUAAUUGUGCAUUUUCAUCAUUCAUUAUAGCCUACAUUGCCAGCUAACUUUAUAAAAUUAGAUUCCUUGAUGUUGGUAAAGAGAACUAUCAUUGCAAUUUUAUAGUUCUACAGGGAUUAGUUUCUUGAUCAGCUUGCUUAAAUGUUAUUUUGCAUUGUGCUGCAAUGUUGAUGACAUUCUGAUUUUAGUUGUAUUAAAUUCUCAUUAGAUAUGCAGUAAUUGGAAUUUUUCCUCCUCGUUCUUGUUUGAAUUGGUUUGCUAUGAUAUAAGUCAUGUGUAACUUCUGUGGUCAUUUGCUAGAGGCUUAUGAACAAGUUCUGUGUGUAUUUAUCCAAAUUCUUGGAGUUCUUAGGUUGACUCCUGCUGUUGUGUGACACUUUGGAGUACUUUAGCUGUAGAGGAAUGAAAAUUGUAGCUCCUCGCAUUAGUCUUGCAUUCACCUCAACAUUGUCUUUGGCAUGACAAAGUAAUUUGAGUGUUCUGUCCAUCCCAUAAUCUGGCUUUAUUAGGAGCACGUGGUAUUAUAUCUAGUACUUUCUAAAAGCUUAAAACGUAUAUGCCCUCUACAUCAUGGGUAGAAACUUUAAAUCUGAAUCCAGGACAUAAUAUAACUUUCUAGUUUUGAUUUUGUCAUUCUCCACUCCCUAUUUAGUCCUUGUAACACCGUCUGAUUUGUAAUUUGACUUAUAGUUGAAGAAACUGUAAUUUGACCAAAAAACAAUUCAAUUUUUUUCUGUACUAAUUUUUUAGCUUUGGCAUGUUUGCCAGGAAAUAGGUUUGAUUGUACAGAUACUAUUUGUCUUUGACCAAUUACCUGUCUUUGUGUGGAUUCUUCUCAUGAGGACCUAAUGUUCUUGUUACUAGAAUUAGUUUUUUUUACCAAUCACGAAGUGCACAAAUCUUGCACUUUUCUGUUCAAAAAUUCCACAUUGCUGCCACAAAGUUUCGAGAACUUUUAUAAUUAAUGUUCUUGCCCAUGAUCAAGCAAAGGCUCAAGUAUGUGAUGAUGGCUCCAGGUCUUGUGCUUGUUUUUACCUUCUUUAUUCUGUCACCUCUACAAUCUGCACGUUUUGAUAUUUUUCUCUUGUUUUUGGUUCGUUACUUCUGGUUUGUUAGUUAUUCCAAUGUUACGUGGUCAUGCUAGGUGCCAUAACAUUUCCACAGUGUGGUAUAUUUCUGGAGCCUUUGUCAUUUUAUACAUUUAAUGGUCAAACACAACUAAGAGACCAAUACCUGAUAGUUGGAUCUGGCAUCAUCAGAAUCAACAUAUAGAGACACAACUUAUACACAGAUCUUUUGAAUUUCUUGGGUUUCUUCUUGCAGAUAAUUUCAUGGCUAGUUGCUGCUUGAUCAUAUUGAUAAACGGAUAUCUCUUAGUGGAUUUCUUCUCAUCUGAAGUCAGUGGAGUGAUACUUACAUCAGUCGUAUUUGUUUUUACGGCUGCAUAUGUGGCUUUUAUAGCAUACCUCGUAUCACGAGGCAUUACCUUUUCUAAUUUUCCAUUAAAAUUCAAGAGGCUCACAAACUCAGGAAAUUAAUCGAUGGUUCUGUCAAUGACUUGCCAAGUGCGCAGCACUCAGGACUUUCCAUCUCUGGUAUUGCCAACUGUUUCUCUGCCAGAAAGAUCCCUUGUGCAUAUAAAUGUUUUCCAUCUCUGGAACGCGCAAUAGGUGUCUACAAAGAUUGUGACAAUCACUUACCUGAAUCGCUUGUGCGAAAUUUGUACUAGUUCCUGUGCAAUUUUGCAAUUCUCAUCCCUCUAUGCAUUGGAGAUGGGAAAAGCAAGGCCCAAUAUAGAUCUGAGGUGAAGUAUUGUAUGUAGUAGUAGAUUCC